AUUGAACGCUGGCGGCAGGCCUAACACAUGCAAGUCGAGCGGAUGAAGGGAGCUUGCUCCUGGAUUCAGCGGCGGACGGGUGAGUAAUGCCUAGGAAUCUGCCUGGUAGUUGGGGAUAGCGUCCGGAAACGGGCGCUAAUACCGCAUACGUCCUGAGGGAGAAAGUGGGGGAUCUUCGGACCUCACGCUAUCAGAUGAGCCUAGGUCGGAUUAGCUAGUUGGUGGGGUAAAGGCCUACCAAGGCGACGAUCCGUAACUGGUCUGAGAGGAUGAUCAGUCACACUGGAACUGAGACACGGUCCAGACUCCUACGGGAGGCAGCAGUGGGGAAUAUUGGACAAUGGGCGAAAGCCUGAUCCAGCCAUGCCGCGUGUGUGAAGAAGGUCUUCGGAUUGUAAAGCACUUUAAGUUGGGAGGAAGGGCAGUAAGUUAAUACCUUGCUGUUUUGACGUUACCAACAGAAUAAGCACCGGCUAACUUCGUG
rnacentral:rRNA from 1 species